rnacentral:rRNA from 1 species
CCUACGGGAGGCAGCAGUGGGGGAUAUUGCACAAUGGGGGGAACCCUGAUGCAGCGACGCCGCGUGGGUGAAGGAGUGCUUCGGCAUGUAAAGCCCUAUCGGCAGGGAAGAAGCAAGACGGUACCUGACUAAGAAGCCCCGGCUAACUACGUGCCAGCAGCCGCGGUAAUACGUAGGGGGCGAGCGUUAUCCGGAUGCACUGGGUGUAAAGGGAGCGUAGACGGCCAAGCAAGCCAGGGGUGAAAGCCCGGGGCCCAACCCCGGGACUGCCCUUGGAACUGCAUGGCUGGAGUGCGGGAGGGGCAGGCGGAAUUCCUGGUGUAGCGGUGGAAUGCGUAGAUAGCAGGAGGAACACCGGCGGCGAAGGCGGCCUGCUGGACCGCGACUGACGUUGAGGCUCGAAAGCGUGGGGAGCGAACAGGAUUGGAUACCCGUGUAGUC